AUUUGCUGUCUGGAGCAGUGUGUUUUAUUGCAUCUAAGACAGAUGGCUUGUCCAGAACACUUCGUUGCCCUAGCUGGCCAAAGAGUGAAGGGAAGCUGCUGGGGAAAAGCACAGCAGUGAAGCUGAACAAGAGAAGCACAACAAUGUUGCAGCUUCGACAACUUUUCCCAGUUUUAUUCCCAUGGAGGUCAUGUGGCCCAGCACUCUCUCCAUCAGAAGAAGGUGAUUUGGAAAGGGCACAUGUUUGAGAACAAUUAAGAAGAUAUUUAGAGGGUUUGCAAAAUUUUCCUAAUGAAACCAGAAGAAGUCAUAUUUCCUACAAUCAAGAUUAGAGCGAAUUAUAUUGAGUUUGAAUCU